rnacentral:rRNA from 1 species
CCCUUAGAUGUUCUGGGCCGCACGCGUGCUACACUGACCGGCGCAACAAGCUUUUUUCCUUGGCUCGACAGGCCUGGGUAAUCUUUGAACGCUGGUCGUGAUGGGGAUAGACUUUUGCAAUUUUUGGUCUUCAACGAGGAAUUCCUAGUAAACGCAAGUCAUCAACUUGCAUUGAUUACGUCCCUGCCCUUUGUACACACCGCCCGUCGCACCUACCGAUUGAAUGGUCCGGUGAAGCCUCCGGAUUGGCGCGCACCUCGGUGCCGCCGAGAAGUUGGCUAAACCUUACCAUUUAGAGGAAGGUGAANUCGUANCA